UCCCCGCAGGCCACGGCGCUGGGAAUCCUGCCUUCCCUGCUAUCUCCCUGAGGCAAGGGGUUGGAGGUUAGCACGGAGUGUUUCUCAAUCAUUUUCCACCUUACAUUUUAAGACCUGGUGUGUCACUGAACCUGGAGCUCACCAACUCUGCUCAACUGGUUCUGACAAUUGCUCUAGCACAGACGAACCUUGAGGGCAUUAAGCCUAGUGAAAUAAGCCAGUGACAAAAAGACAAAUGUCGUGAUCACACUUAAAUAAGGUAAGUAGAAAGGUCAAGCAGGUAGGCGCAGAAAGCAGGAUGCUAGCCGCUAAGGGAUGUGGGGAGAGCAGAGUGGGCAUUUGUUGUUUAAUGGAUGUAAAGGUUCUGUUUUGCAAAAGGAAAAGGUGAGGCUGAGGACAUUGCUCUCUAGCAGAACACUCACCUAGCAUGUCUGAGACCUGUGGUCAAUGUCCAACAGCUCAUGCACACACACAUACACAUGAGAAAGAAGGAAAAGAAGCUACCUUUUACUUAAAAAAUGUAUUUAUUUUUAUUUUAUGUGUGUGUGCCUGAGUUGAAAAUGCCCACUGAGUGCAGAAGAAAGUGUUGGAUCUCCUGGAACUGGAGUUCCAUAUGAGUGUGAGCCACCUGACAUGCUGAGAGCGGUACUUAGGCCCUCUGCAGUAGCAGCAAGUACUAUGUAAUACAUCAUAAUGACUUUUGUUUAGACAAUUAUCUUUUGAAGAUAUUUACCCAAAUAAAAGCUAUUUUAAAAAUUCUUACAGGGCUCGGGUGUGGCUCACAUAAAGCCAUGGGUUCCAUCGUUAGUGCAAGAAGAAAUAAAUGAACUUAUAUUUAUCAAAUGUG
ensembl:processed_transcript RIKEN cDNA 5730405O15 gene